rnacentral:rRNA from 1 species
UACGUAGGCAGCAAGCGUUGUUCGGAGUUACUGGGCGUAAAGGGUGUGUAGGCGGUUGUUUAAGUUUGGUGUGAAAUCUCCCGGCUCAACCGGGAGGGUGCGCCGAAUACUGAGUGACUAGAGUGCGGGAGAGGAAAGUGGAAUUCCUGGGUGUAGCGGUGAAAUGCGUAGAUAUCAGGAGGAACACCGGUGGUGUAGACGGCUUUCUGGACCGUAACUGACGCUGAGACACGAAAGCGUGGGUAGCAAACAGG